rnacentral:rRNA from 1 species
CCUACGGGUGGCAGCAGUAGGGAAUAUUGCUCAAUGGGGGAAACCCUGAAGCAGCAACGCCGCGUGGAGGAUGAAGGUUUACGGAAUGUAAACUCCUUUUGUUCGAGGAGAUAAUGACGGUCUCUAACGAAUAAGCACCGGCUAACUCCGUGCCAGCUGCUGCGGUCAUACGGAGGGGGCAAGCGUUACUCGGAAUCACUGGGCGUAAAGAGCGCGUAGGCGGGAUAGCAAGUCAGAUGGGAAAUCCUAUGGCUUAACCAUAGCACUGCAUUUGACACUGUUAUUCUAGAGGAUGGGAGAGGUAGGUGGAAUUCGUGGUGUAGGGGUAAAAUCCGUAGAGAUCAAGAGGAAUACUCAUUGCGAAGGCGACCUGCUAGAACAUAACUGACGCUGAUGCGCGAAAGCGUGGGAAGCAAACAGGAUUAGAUACCGAGUAGUC